rnacentral:rRNA from 1 species
GAUGAACGCUGGCGGCGUGCCUAAUACAUGCAAGUCGAGCGAAUGGAUUAAGAGCUUGUUCUUAUGAAGUUAGCGGCGGACGGGUGAGUAACACGUGGGUAACCUGCCCAUAAGACUGGGAUAACUCCGGGAAACCGGGGCUAAUACCGGAUAACAUUUUGAACCGCAUGGUUCGAAAUUGAAAGGCGGCUUCGGCUGUCACUUAUGGAUGGACCCGCGUCGCAUUAGCUAGUUGGUGAGGUAACGGCUCACCAAGGCAACGAUGCGUAGCCGACCUGAGAGGGUGAUCGGCCACACUGGGACUGAGACACGGCCCAGACUGCUACGGGAGGCAGCAGUAGGGAAUCUUCCGCAAUGGACGAAAGUCUGACGGAGCAACGCCGCGUGAGUGAUGAAGGCUUUCGGGUCGUAAAACUCUGUUGUUAGGGAAGAACAAGUGCUAGUUGAAUAAGCUGACACCUUGACGGUACCUAACCAGAAAGCCACGGCUAACUACGUGCCAGCCGCCGCGGUAA